UACGUAGGAUCCAAGCGUUGUCCGGAUUUACUGGGUGUAAAGGGUGCGCAGGCGGACUGGUUAGUCUGGGGUGAAAUCUCAUCGCUUAACGGUGAAACUGCCUUAGAUACUGCCAGUCUUGAAUUAGGGAGAGGUGUGUGGAACUCCGAGUGUAGAGGUGAAAUUCGUAGAUAUUCGGAAGAACACCAGUGGCGAAGGCGACACACUGGCCCGUAACUGACGCUGAGGCGCGAAAGCGUGGGGAGCAAACAGG
rnacentral:rRNA from 1 species